rnacentral:rRNA from 1 species
GUCUAUGACCAUGCCACCCUGAACAAGCCCGAUCUCGUCUGAUCUUGGAAGCUAAGCAGGAUUGGGCCUGGUUAGUACUCGAAUGGAAGACCACAUAGGAAGACAAGGGGGCGGGGGAA